UUAAAAUUAUAUUUUUAAUGAGAUUGAUAUAAAAGUUAUAAUAAAUUGCUGAAAAAAGCUUUACUCUACAUAGUUAAGCUCAAUCAGCAGGGAAUCUAUUAUGUUACACAUUUGUAGCUAGUAGCACCUUCAGAGGCUAAACAUUAUAGACCGCGUCGAUUAAUUGAUGCGCUUAAGAUAUAGUCCAACCAUAGUAGUAAUACUAUG
rnacentral:ncRNA from 1 species